rnacentral:rRNA from 1 species
GAUGAACGCUGGCGGCGUGCUUAACACAUGCAAGUCGAACGAAGCACUUAAGAUUGAUUCUUCGGAUGACGUCUUUUGUGACUUAGUGGCGGACGGGUGAGUAACGCGUGGGUAACCUGCCUCACACAGGGGGAUAACAGUUAGAAAUGACUGCUAAUACCGCAUAACCCGAUAGGAUCGCAUGAUCCAGACGGAAAAGAUUUAUCGGUGUGAGAUGGACCCGCGUCUGAUUAGCUGGUGUGAGUAACGCCACAAGGCAACGAUCAGUAGCCGGCCUGAGAGGGUGAACGGCCACAUUGGGACUGAGACACGGGCCCAAACUCCUACGGGAGCAGCAGUGGGGAAUAUUGCACAAUGGGGGAAACCCUGAUGCAGCGACGCCGCGU